CGUUCAUUCAGUUAGAGAGUGUUUUGCCGCCUUGUCUUGCCUGCCUGCAAUGAAUUUCCUGAAAAUUAUCUUCGUUAUUAUGUUGGUCGUAUCCGGUGCAAAUGCUAUGACUUAUUUCUUCACGAGGACAAGGUGGCUUUCAACUGGAUGGCAAAUGCAAUCAAGCCUAGUGUGUGGAUUACACUCCUGUAUUUAUUUUACUAAGGACCAACCAGCAAUUGCUGAUAUUUUGUACUGCCAACACCCAGCUCUUUUUGCAGAGUGUGAGACUUAUGGAGUAGACACAACAGUAGAUUGGCCCGAAUGCUGUUGGAAGUGUGUCGAUUUUAAAAAAUGUUAGCCCUGAAGUUUCGAUGAUCAGUUCAUGUUACAAUUAUGUAUGCAAACAUGCGAAAUAAAUAUUUUAUUAC